rnacentral:rRNA from 1 species
GACGAACGCUGGCGGCGUGCCUAAUACAUGCAAGUUGAGCGCUGAAGGUUGGUACUUGUACCGACUGGAUGAGCAGCGAACGGGUGAGUAACGCGUGGGGAAUCUGCCUUUGAGCGGGGGACAACAUUUGGAAACGAAUGCUAAUACCGCAUAACAACUUUAAACACAAGUUUUAAGUUUGAAAGAUGCAAUUGCAUCACUCAAAGAUGAUCCCGCGUUGUAUUAGCUAGUUGGUGAGGUAAAGGCUCACCAAGGCGAUGAUACAUAGCCGACCUGAGAGGGUGAUCGGCCACAUUGGGACUGAGACACGGCCCGAACUCCUACGGGAGGCAGCAGUAGGGAAUCUUCGGCAAUGGACGAAAGUCUGACCGAGCAACGCCGCGUGAGUGAAGAAGGUUUUCGGAUCGUAAAACUCUGUUGGUAGAGAAGAACGUUGGUGAGAGUGGAAAGCUCAUCAAGUGACGGUAACUACCCAGAAAGGGACGGCUAACUACGUGCCAGCAGCCGCAGUAA